GAUUUGUUUCAAGCUCAGCGUUGUGGAAACCACAACUCACUUUCUGCAUCGAAACGCGUCUGUGGUGACAAGGGAGAUCAUUCCAGUGUGUUAUCAGCAGGUUGAUGUAGCUCGCUGGUCAAAACCAUCAACAAGGACCUUGCAGCGCGGUCCAGAAAUCUUCCCAACGGUACGUGUUCCAACAUAACAUAGGCUUACGGACUUCAAGAUACGCAGUGAAACAGCGGUGGAUGAAGAACAUUGCUUCUGCAGGAACAAAGAUACAGUAAUGAACUGGCAACUGUUCUUACAGUAUUUUGUUUUCUACGUGAUAUCACAAAAGAUCUCUGCCGUCGUAACUUUGCUAUUAAAUAAUGACUGGCAAAACUGACAUUUAGUCGCCUUUGCGCC